AUGCAACCUGUUAAGGCAACCAGGUUCCUUUACUCUUUGGGGCCUUGUUCGCAGUGGCUGUAAACAGCAUCUUCCUUGGCAGUGUAGCAAGCCUGUUUCUAUAUGGGUUGCUCUCAGGGACCUUGGAGACAAUG